rnacentral:lncRNA from 10 species
GACUGCUGGCCAGACCCCCAAGCUAGCCCGCCAGGCCUCCAUAGAGCUGCCCAGCAUGGCUGCAUCCAGUACCAAGAGUUGGUGGGAGACGGGUGAGGUACAGGCUCAGUCUGCGGCCAAGACUCCGUCCUGCAAGGAUAUUGUGGCUGGAGACAUGAGCAAGAAAAGCCUCUGGGAGCAGAAGGGAGGCUCCAAGACCUCAUCAACAAUUAAGGUAGAGCCUAAAUGUGGUUGGUGCAGGCAGGAAAUAUUAACUUAUUUCAUUGUCACACGAAACCAGAAGACAUAAAACAGUUAAAAUAGGCCAGGCACAGUGGCUCACACCUGUAAUCCCAGCACUUUGGGAGGCCGAGGCGGGUGGAUCACGAGGUCAGGAGGAGACCAUCCUGGCCAACGUGGUGAAACUUGGUCUAUACUAAAAAUAC